AGAGUUUGAUCAUGGCUCAGAUUGAACGCUGGCGGCAGGCCUAACACAUGCAAGUCGAACGGUAACAGGAAGCAGCUUGCUGCUUUGCUGACGAGUGGCGGACGGGUGAGUAAUGUCUGGGAAACUGCCUGAUGGAGGGGGAUAACUACUGGAAACGGUGGCUAAUACCGCAUAACGUCGCAAGACCAAAGAGGGGGACCUUCGGGCCUCUUGCCAUCAGAUGUGCCCAGAUGGGAUUAGCUUGUUGGUGAGGUAACGGCUCACCAAGGCGACGAUCCCUAGCUGGUCUGAGAGGAUGACCAGCCACACUGGAACUGAGACACGGUCCAGACUCCUACGGGAGGCAGCAGUGGGGAAUAUUGCACAAUGGGCGCAAGCCUGAUGCAGCCAUGCCGCGUGUAUGAAGAAGGCCUUCGGGUUGUAAAGUACUUUCAGCGGGGAGGAAGGUGUUGUGGUUAAUAACCGCAGCAAUUGACGUUACCCGCAGAAGAAGCACCGGCUAACUCCGUGCCAGCAGCCGCGGUAAUACGGAGGGUGCAAGCGUUAAUCGGAAUUACUGGGCGUAAAGCGCACGCAGGCGGUCUGUCAAGUCGGAUGUGAAAUCCCCGGGCUCAACCUGGGAACUGCAUUCGAAACUGGCAGGCUUGAGUCUUGUAGAGGGGGGUAGAAUUCCAGGUGUAGCGGUGAAAUGCGUAGAGAUCUGGAGGAAUACCGGUGGCGAAGGCGGCCCCCUGGACAAAGACUGACGCUCAGGUGCGAAAGCGUGGGGAGCAAACAGGAUUAGAUACCCUGGUAGUCCACGCCGUAAACGAUGUCUACUUGGAGGUUGUGCCCUUGAGGCGUGGCUUCCGGAGCUAACGCGUUAAGUAGACCGCCUGGGGAGUACGGCCGCAAGGUUAAAACUCAAAUGAAUUGACGGGGGCCCGCACAAGCGGUGGAGCAUGUGGUUUAAUUCGAUGCAACGCGAAGAACCUUACCUGGUCUUGACAUCCACGGAAGAAUUCAGAGAUGGAAUUGUGCCUUCGGGAACCGUGAGACAGGUGCUGCAUGGCUGUCGUCAGCUCGUGUUGUGAAAUGUUGGGUUAAGUCCCGCAACGAGCGCAACCCUUAUCCUUUGUUGCCAGCGGUCCGGCCGGGAACUCAAAGGAGACUGCCAGUGAUAAACUGGAGGAAGGUGGGGAUGACGUCAAGUCAUCAUGGCCCUUACGACCAGGGCUACACACGUGCUACAAUGGCGCAUACAAAGAGAAGCGACCUCGCGAGAGCAAGCGGACCUCAUAAAGUGCGUCGUAGUCCGGAUUGGAGUCUGCAACUCGACUCCAUGAAGUCGGAAUCGCUAGUAAUCGUGGAUCAGAAUGCCACGGUGAAUACGUUCCCGGGCCUUGUACACACCGCCCGUCACACCAUGGGAGUGGGUUGCAAAAGAAGUAGGUAGCUUAACCUUCGGGAGGGCGCUUACCACUUUGUGAUUCAUGACUGGGGUGAAGUCGUAACAAGGUAACCGUAGGGGAACCUGCGGUUG
rnacentral:rRNA from 1 species